rnacentral:rRNA from 1 species
AGGAAUAUUGGUCAAUGGGCGCGAGCCUGAACCAGCCAAGUAGCGUGAAGGAUGAAGGUCCUACGGAUUGUAAACUUCUUUUAUAAGGGAAUAAAGUCACCCACGUGUGGGUGUUUGUAUGUACCUUAUGAAUAAGCAUCGGCUAACUCCGUGCCAGCAGCCGCGGUAAUACGGAGGAUGCGAGCGUUAUCCGGAUUUAUUGGGUUUAAAGGGAGCGUAGACGGGUCGUUAAGUCAGCUGUGAAAGUUUGGGGCUCAACCUUAAAAUUGCAGUUGAUACUGGCGUCCUUGAGUACGGUUGAGGCAGGCGGAAUUCGUGGUGUAGCGGUGAAAUGCUUAGAUAUCACGAAGAACCCCGAUUGCGAAGGCAGCCUGCUAAACCGCCACUGACGUUGAGGCUCGAAAGUGUGGGUAUCAAACAGGAUUAGAUACCCUGGUAGUCCACACGGUAAACGAUGAAUACUCGCUGUUUGCGAUAUACUGCAAGCGGCCAAGCGAAAGCGUUAAGUAUCCCACCUGGGGAGUACGCCGGCAACGGUGAAACUCAAAGGAAUUGACGGGGGCCCGCACAAGCGGAGGAACAUGUGGUUUAAUUCGAUGAUACGCGAGGAACCUUACCCGGGCUUGAAUUGCAGACGAAUUGCUUGGAAACAGGCAAGCCGCAAGGCGUCUGUGAAGGUGCUGCAUGGUUGUCGUCAGCUCGUGCCGUGAGGUGUCGGCUUAAGUGCCAUAACGAGCGCAACCCUCGUGUCCAGUUACUAGCAGGUUAUGCUGAGGACUCUGGACAGACUGCCAUCGUAAGAUGUGAGGAAGGUGGGGAUGACGUCAAAUCAGCACGGCCCUUACGUCCGGGGCUACACACGUGUUACAAUGGGGGGUACAGCAGGCAGCUACCGGGCGACCGGAUGCCAAUCCCGAAAGCCUCUCUCAGUUCGGACUGGAGUCUGCAACCCGACUCCACGAAGCUGGAUUCGCUAGUAAUCGCGCAUCAGCCACGGCGCGGUGAAUACGUUCCCG